rnacentral:lncRNA from 10 species
ACUCAAGGGAUCUGCCUGCCUCAGCCUCCCAAAGUGCUGAGGUUACGGGCGUGAGCCGCUGUGCCUGGCCUAUGUUGGCUCUUUUCUCCUCUGCAAUCUGGGGACACAGGCCAGACCCUGAAUGAGGCUGCAGCUGCUGCAGCACUCUGACAAAAAGAGAAAUCCUCACGGAUGAUGAUGGUGGCCUUAGGGCACCUGUCAGCACAAAAGUGCUUUUCAUAAGCACUAGUCAUCUUCUCUGGUUUAUAAGACAGGGAGUCGCAAGAGGGAGAAGAUGGCUCCCAUGGUGUGGGAGAGAGAAACUAAAUCAAAUAGGCCCACGGGUCCACCCACGCCCACUCACGACCUGGAGAGCCUGCAGUGGUCCAUGCUCUACCACCCAAGGGGUAAAGCUCAAACGCCUCUGCCCGGCAUCCUGAGACCCAGCUCCCAAGCAGCUUUCUGGUGCUCCCUUCCUCUGUUCUUCAGGUGGGCUGCACAGAGCCUACACCACUUUUCAACUUAGCCUCAGCAUUCAGGGAAGUCUGCUUUUCAGCUCCACCUUCUGCCUUGGGAAGGCCCGAGAGCCGACUGGCCACUUUGAGGCAGGAGACUAGGGUCUGGAGGCAGGAAACCUAAGGCUGAUUCACGCUGACUUCCUAGAACCAAAUUGAAAGGAAAACCCCAACUUUCCAUACCUAAGUAGCAAAAGGACCAGGGGCGACUCCCUUUGAAAAC